rnacentral:lncRNA from 1 species
CCCAAAUGAGAUGGUUUGGGAUGAGUUGGACUGCAGAGUGAAGGAAAAACAGCCAACAAGUGCUCAGCAUAUGUGGGAACUCCUUCAAGACUGUUGGAAAAGCAUUCCAGGCCGUCUGCCAGGUCCUGACUGCCUGGUUGGAACAGAUUCUGAACAGGACCUGCAACGACGAUUACAGGGCCAGUGUCGUCAUCCAGAAAGGAUUGGAUUCUGGUGCCAGGGACAGGUUCCCUGACACACCGUGUCCUUCUUCAUCAGAGGAAGAAGAGGUGUUCGCGAGUGUCAUAACUGUCCUCCAUUUGGAGCCCUACACCUCAACCAAGGCAGCAUGGGCAGCUCCUGCAAAGACCCUGGAGGUCAACCCCUGUCUGGAUGAAGAUGAGAGAGUCCCCAGCACCUCCAUGAUUGAGGGGUCCCUGACGACCACUCAGGCAACAUGGGCAGCUCCUGCCCAGACCUUGGAAGAAGAAGUCGGGGGAGCUGAUGUCUCUGAGGUGAGUACCGGCUCCCUGACCCCCACAGAGGCCAGGCAGGACCUCCUGGAGAAGAUUCCCUCUCUCCUGCCGGGUGAGAUCCUCAUCGAAGAGGACAUCCCCCUACGCAGCAGUCCCAGGGACACCGUCAUGAGCCCCCAGACCCUGAAGCUCAUCCUCCAGGGCAUAUUGCACCGACUGGAGGCCUCAGAGUCCCCCCAGGCCAGGAGGGCGAAUGACCCCUUCAGGCUGAUGAAGAAUCUAUUUUUGGAGGUCCACCAUGCCCUUAGGUAUGUUGACAUCGCUGUCCUCUUCAGCCUGGAGGAGAGCAUCCAAUUCAGGGGGGAAGAUGCAAUGAAGGCCAUUGUGAAGGCUGCGGCUAAAAGGUUGUCCCUGCGCUCGGACUCCAACCGGGCUCAACUGCGCGCCGCACGCUAUGGUGGCGAGGGAGCCAUAUGUUGCAUGGCAGACACCAUCGCGCGUGUCAUAGACGACCACGCCCAGGACUGGAGUUCAGACGGCCAUUUUGGAGCGAGGAGGAGCCGUGGUAGUGGGAGGUCAUGCUCCUCCUCAAGCUCCUCAAAGAGUGACAUCACCCUCACAGAGGAACUCUUGGCCCAGGGGGAAACCCUGGAAGAGGACCAAGAGGAGGUGGCUCCGAAAUCUGACUCUGCUAGCUUGGAGAAGGCCAGCAGCAGCUCCCUCUCCACAGACCUUGUGGACAGCACCUCCACACAGACGGUGAAGGACGAGGCAAUGAGGAAGUUAGGAAAGGGGAAGCGAGGUCGCAAGAAGACCCUGAAGAAGAACAAGGUGGCUCCCCUUGGCACUGAUGAUACCGUGGCUGAUGAGCCGGGAAAAAAACAGUCUCUCCUCCUGCAGAUUACAGCUGCCAUGGCAAAACUAUUUUGCCUCCCCUGCAAAAAAAGAAGCGGUAAAAGUAAUUGUGUGGGUAUACCCACUUAGUAGGCACUUCAGUGCACCUGCCUCCUCUACAAACCCAGAGUCAACAGAAGAGGGAGACAAACCCCCCUACUCACAACACAUUUGAUGAUUCCAACCAUACCCCCACGCUAUGGUGGCGAGGGAGCCAUCUGUUGCAUGGCGGACACUAUCACACACGUCAUAGAUGACCAUGCUGAGGAUUGGAGCUCUGACGGCCAUUUUGGAGCCAGGAGGAGCAGUGGUAGUGGGAGAUCAUACUCCUCAACCUCCUCAAGGAGUGACAUCACCCUCACCGAGGAGCUCCUGGCUGAAAGGGCCAAGGAAGGGCACCAAGACGACGUGGCUGAUGACGAACCCCCCCCCAAUAACAAACCAUUACAAACCAUGAUGACUCCCCCCCAUAGCCCGGCCGGACCUAUUUAAUUAAAUAAACAUGUACUUGCAUCUAUUUUUUAACCUCUUUUUUUUGUUUUUUACAGGCCUAAUGUAGACUACAAAUUCUUAAGUGCAAAUUGAUGUGUGUACUGCAUCAAUAUUAUGAGUUCACUGUGCCAGUCAUUAUAGUCAAUCUAGGCUUUAACACUCUUAAGUGUAUUGGUAUUGACACAAUAAGAGUUACAUUUCAGAAUUUUCUAAUUUGGCCUUUCUGAG